CUCAACGUACAUCACUUAUUUUG
rnacentral:snRNA from 1 species